rnacentral:rRNA from 1 species
UAAUUGAAGAGUUUGAUCAUGGCUCAGAUUGAACGCUGGCGGCAGGCCUAACACAUGCAAGUCGAACGGUAACAU